GCGGUGUGCUCAGAGCAGGGGGCCUGAAGAAAUGGCUCAUCUGUUUAUAACACACCCGACAGGAACCUGGUUCACUGUGACGAGCGGCACAAAACGUGUGGCCUUCCUAUGGGCAGAAACCCGACAUGU
ensembl:snoRNA